GGUAUGGUGGUUGCCCUGAACUGUUCAGAGUUCCAUAAGGAGCUCUUUAUCUAAACAUUUUUUCUUUUAGUUUUACCCCCUCUGUGGAUUAUUUAAUACGGAUGAGGUUUUGAUCUCUAUUUUGCAUCCUCGUAGCCUACUUCUCACCAUUUCCUUAAUUUCUUGACAUUGUUGUGGGUGUUUGUCUGAUCUGUUGCUUUGAAUACUAGUAGUUAGUCACAUGGUGAACACGUUAUUCUAAAAAGCUCACAUUGCACAUGUUCUGCACGCUUGGGCACUAGCAGGUGUUAUCCCAUUAGAAAACUAGGUGGAGGGAUUUUUAACCAAAUUUCUAAAAUGAUUAUGUUAUCAAUUAAUGUUAUGACUCCGCUUUAUUCCUAUUACAGUGGUCUAGUUACCCUCAAAUACUCUAAAGAACUCUGUGGACUCGUUCUGUGGUCGUUGGUUGUCAAGCCAUCUGUUAAAUAUGUCAACAUGAGAUCUUUAGCUAUGAAACUAAUUCUUUGCGAAAGCAAGUGCCUCAUUUUAGCUAUGAGAACUCUGCGAAACUAAUUCUUUGCGGAAGCAAGAGCUAAUUCAAGUCUUUUCAAGGUUUGGAGUAAUUAUUUUUAUCAUGUAUUUUCCUAAUAUGUGAAGCUUGUGGAAUUUAAUUUUCUAUUUCUUUUUGUCCUUUCCCAGUUGCGAUGGAUUUAUAAAAUUGAAGAUGCAGAGCACAUAUGGAACUCCGGUUGCAUUUGUUGAUUUUUAGAUGUUUUUGGACAUACAAAUGUGGAUAUGUUUUUUUUGACUAGUACGGGAGGGCAUUGUUUUUAUAUCUCUAUCCGUAUGUAUAGUGGUUUGUACAAAUUAUUUUUUUGGUGUGGUAAAUAUCAGCUACGUUGGCAUGGUAGAAAUUAACAUAGCACGUGGUACAAAAUAGUUUUGGGGCAGUACAAAAUAUAAUUUUUGUUGUGGUACAGAAGUUCUAGGUGUAAAAUUAAUUUGGUUAUUCCUGUAUUAUGUAUGGAAUUAAAUUAUUGACGUUGGAUUA